rnacentral:lncRNA from 1 species
UACUUAAAGACGUGAUCUCAACUUAAUUUAAAAUAUUUAAAUUUGAAAUUAACUUGAUUCGAGAUCGAUCAAGCAUUAAUAUCCAAGUUCAAAUUUGACUAAAUCAAAGAAAAGCAAUCUCAAGAUACACUCAACUUCACUCUCAUAUUAACUGAACCAUACUCAAAUUCAAAUUCGAGUCUUAGAUAUAAUUAAAAAAAUAUUAGAGACUUA